UUGAAGAGGGGCUGCUGAGGCACACAGAGUCCCUGUGCAGAGCCCUGGAUGGGGAGCUGGACCUCAGUGAGACCAGGCUGGACCAGAAGGCCUGUGGAUCUCUGGCCCUGGUUCUGGAACACUCAGAGGGUCUGUCAGAACUGGACCUCAGCCACUGUCAACUCACAGACCACCACCUACAGCCCCUGAUCACACACCUGCAUAAAGUACAAGUCCUGGACCUGAGUCACAAUGACAUCACUGAUGCUCUGACUGACAGAAUACUCCAACUGGUCUCUACCAACACUUCAAUACACACCGUACGACUCUUCAACAACAGAAUCCAGGACAGAAGACCCUUCCUGACAGACAAGAGGUUUGACAUCUGGUGAAACAACAUCAGGUCUUAGUCCAGGAAGAGAAGGCUGAAUCCAGGACAGAAGACCUUUCCUGACAGACAAGAGGUUUGACAUCUGGUGAAACACAUCAGGUCUUAGUCCAGGAAGAGAAGGCUGAAUCCAGGACAGAAGACCUUUCCUGACAGACAAGAGGUUUGAGAUCUGGUGAAACAUCAGGUCUUAGUCCAGGAAGAGAAGGCUGAAUCCAGGACAGAAGACCCUUCCUGACAGACAAGAGGUUUGAGAUCUGGUGAAACAACAUCAGGUCUUAGUCCAGGAAGAGAAGGCUGAAUCCAGGACAGAAGACCCUUCCUGACAGACAAGAGGUUUGACAUCUGGUGAAACAACAUCAGGUCUUAGUCCAGGAAGAGAAGGCUGAAUCCAGGACAGAAGACCCUUCCUGACAGACAAGAGGUUUGACAUCUGGUGAAACAACAUCAGGUCUUAGUCCAGGAAGAGAAGGCUGAAUCCAGGACAGAAGACCCUUCCUGACAGACAAGAGGUUUGAGAUCUGGUGAAGAUAAUGUCGUAUAAUGACAGUAUAAUGUGGAACAUAAACUGAUGGAACAUUUUAAUACAAAACACACACAAAAAAACAGUUGUUACAGCUGGAACAGUCCAAUCAUGUAUAAAUACUGUGUUAUCAACAGAACUGGUUGUUACAGCUGGAACAGUCCAAUCAUGUAUAAACUACUGUGUUAUCAACAGACUCAUUAACCUUUAUGGGCUAGGUGGGACGCUUGCGUCCCACCUACGCAACAGCCAGUUGAAUCCUGUGGCGCGUUAUUCAAAUACCUUAGAUAUGCUAUUACUUCAAUUUUUAAAAAAUAUGACUAUUUUACACCAUUUUAAAGAUAAGACUCUCGUUAAUCUAACCACACUGUCCGAUUUCAAAAAGGCUUUACAACGAAAGCAAAACAUUAGAUUAUGUCAGCAGAGUACCCAGCC